CCCUUAGAUGUCCGGGGCCGCACGCGCGCUACACUGAAGGAAUCAGCGUGGCUUUCUCCCUGACCCGAAAGGGUUGGGAAACCCGUUGAAUCUCCUUCGUGAUAGGGAUUGGGGCUUGAAAUUGUUCCCCAUGAACGAGGAAUUCCCAGUAAGCGCGAGUCAUAAGCUCGCGUUGAUUACGUCCCUGCCCUUUGUACACACCGCCCGUCGCUACUACCGAUUGAACGGUUUAGUGAGGCCUUCUGACUGGCGCCGCUACUCUGGCAACAGAGCGGCGGAUGCCGGGAAGUUGGUCAAACUUGAUCAUUUAGAGGAAGUAAAAGUCGUAACA
rnacentral:rRNA from 1 species